rnacentral:rRNA from 1 species
UCAGAACGAACGCUGGCGGCACUGCCUAACACAUGCAAGUCGAACGAGACCUUCGGGUCUAGUGGCGCACGGGUGCGUAACACGUGGAAUUGCCUCGGGGUAUGGAAUAACUCAGGGAAACUUGAGCUAAUACCAUAUAAUGUCUUCGGACCAAAGAUUUAUCGCCCUGAGAUAAGCCCGCGUAGGAUUAGCUAGUUGGUGGGGUAAAGGCCUACCAAGGCGACGAUCCAUAGCUGGUCUGAGAGGAUGAUCAGCCACAUUGGGACUGAGACACGGCCCAAACUCCUACGGGAGGCAGCAGUGGGGAAUAUUGGACAAUGGGCGCAAGCCUGAUCCAGCCAUGCCGCGUGAGUGAUGAAGGCCCUAGGGUUGUAAAGCUCUUUCACCGGUGAAGAUAAUGACGGUAACCGGAGAAGAAGCCCCGGCUAACUUCGUG